CCUACGGGGGGCAGCAGUGAGGAAUAUUGGUCAAUGGGAGAGAUCCUGAACCAGCCAAGCCGCGUGAGGGAAGACGGCCCUAUGGGUUGUAAACCUCUUUUGUCGGAGAACAAAACCCGGGACGAGUCCCGGUCUGCGUGUAUCUGAUGAAAAAGCAUCGGCUAACUCCGUGCCAGCAGCCGCGGUAAUACGGAGGAUGCGAGCGUUAUCCGGAUUUAUUGGGUUUAAAGGGUGCGUAGGGGGUCUGUUAAGUCAGCGGUAAAAUUGUGGGGCUCAACCCCGUCGUGCCGUUGAUACUGGCAGACUUGAGUUGGUGAGAGGUACGCGGAAUGCGCGGUGUAGCGGUGAAAUGCAUAGAUAUCGCGCAGAACUCCGAUUGCGAAGGCAGCGUACCGGCGCCAGACUGACGCUGAGGCACGAAAGCGUGGGGAUCGAACAGGAUUAGAUACCCUUGUAGUC
rnacentral:rRNA from 1 species